GCGCGUAUCAUGGCUCGCCGUCGUAAGCAGCGGCGCUUCAAACUUCCAGGCCCGCUGGACCGCAGAUCUUCUAGUCCAGACCUGCCAUCGUUCCCGCACCCAUCGCAGUUGAUGCAUCUGCCUGGCAAGAUUAAUCGUAAAUCUCCUGAAUUUGGCCAAACCCCCUCGCGGUCGUUG